GUGCAAUGGAAUUCCUUGAGGAGCGGGAGGUGAAAGUCUUGAAUGUCAGGAACAAAGAGUCGUGAUUUAAAAUACAACAGCCCAUUGUGGAAGGUUGAAUAAAUGUAGGAACGGGUAAGGAAAUGUGAAAUAAGAUGGGUGGAGCUGGUUCCGGUCGUGACAAUGAAUCAGCCACAAUGUUCUGUUUGCCUGGCCUGUAGAGGAUAUCAAAAUGGUAGCCCAAGAACUUAAUGGCCCAUUUCUACUGCUCUGGUGUGUGCACUGCUUGGCAAACAUUUCGCGCACAUAGACGGACGCAGCUUGGAGUUUUGGGCAAAGGCGCUUGCUGAAAAAGGCUAUGGGAUGACCAUGCUGGGAUAAAACGGCCCCAAUUGCAGUGCCCGAAGCAUCGGUGUUAAUAACGAAAGGAACGGUGAAGUCGGGAAGAGCCAAAACAGGGACUGUUGUAAUUUUAUUUUUUAAGUCUGUGAAUGCUUGUUGGGCUUGAGGACUCCAUUGAAAUGAAGGAGAACGUAACAAAUCGG